GUGACGCAAUAUCACUGGUUGUCACGUGGUAGCUACUAAACCAAUCAGCGAAUCCACGAAUUUCCUGAAUAACCAUGAGGUCAAAACUGUUCUGAUUUACUAACCGCGGAGACUAAAGAGCGUGCCGUCUUGACCCGAUAUAUCACUGCGUUACUGGUACGAAUCUGCUCGAUGCCUAGAUAUAUCUCUUUCCUUAGCCCAGCCUCUUGAGAUCGAAACCUGGAGAGACUGUAGCAGCCCCUCGCUAACCGUCAAGUGUUCCAUUGAAAACCGAACAAUGCCUGCUGGUAUGAUGACUACAU